GGCCGCGAAUUCGCCCUUAGGGUUUGAUUAUGGCUCAGAUUGAACGCUGGCGGCAGGCCUAACACAUGCAAGUCGAGCGGUAGCACAAGAGAGCUUGCUCUCUGGGUGACGAGCGGCGGACGGGUGAGUAAUGUCUGGGAAACUGCCCGAUGGAGGGGGAUAACCACUGGAAACGGUGGCUAAUACCGCAUAACGUCUACGGACCAAAGAGGGGGACCUUCGGGCCUCUUGCCAUCGGAUGUGCCCAGAUGGGAUUAGCUAGUAGGUGGGGUAACGGCUCACCUAUGC
rnacentral:rRNA from 1 species